UACGGGGGGGGCAAGCGUUGUUCGGAAUUACUGGGCGUAAAGGGCUCGUAGGCGGCAAACUAAGUCAGACGUGAAAUCCCUCGGCUUAACCGGGGAACUGCGUCUGAUACUGGAUGGCUUGAAUCCGGGAGAGGGAUGCGGAAUUCCAGGUGUAGCGGUGAAAUGCGUAGAUAUCUGGAGGAACACCGGUGGCGAAGGCGGCAUCCUGGACCGGCAUUGACGCUGAGGAGCGAAAGCCAGGGGAGCAAACGGG
rnacentral:rRNA from 1 species